CCUACGGGUGGCAGCAGUGGGGGAUAUUGCACAAUGGGGGAAACCCUGAUGCAGCGACGCCGCGUGGGUGAAGAAGCGCCUCGGCGCGUAAAGCCCUGUCAGCAGGGAAGAAAAUGAUGGUACCUGAAGAAGAAGCCCCGGCUAACUACGUGCCAGCAGCCGCGGUAAUACGUAGGGGGCAAGCGUUAUCCGGAUUUACUGGGUGUAAAGGGGGCGCAGACGGCGAUGCAAGCCAGGAGUGAAAGCCCGGGGCCCAACCCCUGGACUGCUCUUGGAACUGCGUGGCUAGAGUGCAGGAGGGGCAGGCGGAAGUCCUGGUGUAGCGGUGAAAUGCGUAGAUAUCAGGAGGAACACCGGUGGCGAAGGCGGCCUGCUGGACUGCAACUGACGUUGAGGCCCGAAAGCGUGGGGAGCAAACAGGAUUAGAUACCCCAGUAGUC
rnacentral:rRNA from 1 species